rnacentral:lncRNA from 1 species
CUUUGUUCCACAAGGCUCCUCUGCUCACGGCUGCGUGGAUAAAACCCAAAGGGAAUCCAGAAUCAAGCUCGGCCUCGCAGGAGUUUAUAACUUUUGUACUUUUCCCUCCCUUGUAACGAAAAGCUAAUCGCAAACGUUUCUAGGAACACAUUUUUCUCCUGAUAGACGUUCCCAAGGUGGAGGGCGCGAGAAGACUGGCCCGUGGGGUGAGGAGCCCCGGCCCGACCUCAGCGGCGCCACAAAGCCAUGAAGAGGGGAAAUAAUUUUCCAAGGGGCUAAGAGUUGGACUUUCUGAAGCCAUCGAAACCUGCUGCUAGGCUCUCCCGCUGGGGUUUUGAGAGAGGUAAAGAAAUUGAGUUCCAGAAGAGUAAUUGACACAAUUGCCCCAUGUCACACAACACGGUGGUAUUGAAAGAGACAAGAAGGAAAGUUUCCUAACUUCAAACUUUGUGCUUUCUCCACUAUCCCGUGAGAGAAUUUGGACUGGCUACAAGCAAGGGGCACAGGGAGAGCUCUCCCUGAAGUUCUGACUGAGGGAAUUCCUUCCAAAAGAAACACAAUUGUCUUCAAUCUCCUGUCUGAAAUCUCACUAACCAGGGAAGAUUAAUCACCAAAGAAGAAAUUAAAGAUUAUCAGCUGGGCCCGGUGGCUCAUGCCUAUAAGCUCAGCACUUUGAGAGGCCAAGGCGGGAGGAUGGCUUGAGC